GAGUUUGAUCCUGGCUCAGGAUGAACGCUGGCGAGAUGCCUUAUACAUGCAAGUCGUACGAGAUUAAAAUCAAGUGGCGGACGGGUGAGUAACACGUAAGAAUUUGCCUUUAGGAGGGGGACAACAACUGGAAACGGUUGCUAAUACCCCAUAUGCUUUCGAGUGAAAUGGAUUUUUUCGCCUAAAGAGAAGCUUGCGGCUGAUUAGCUUGUUGGUAGAGUAAUAGCCUACCAAGGCGACGAUCAGUAUCUGGUUUGAGAGGACGAUCAGACACACUGGAACUGAGACACGGUCCAGACUCCUACGGGAGGCAGCAGUAGGGAAUUUUCCGCAAUGGGCGAAAGCCUGACGGAGCAAUCUCGCGUGAGGGAUGACGGCCUAUGGGUUGUAAACCUCUUUUUUCAGGGAGGAAUAAGUGACGUGUACCUGAAGAAUAAGCAUCGGCUAACUCCGUGCCAGCAGCCGCGGUAAGACGGAGGAUGCAAGUGUUAUCCGGAAUCACUGGGCGUAAAGCGUCUGUAGGUGGUUUAAUAAGUCAACUGUUAAAUCUUAAAGCUUAACUUUGAAAUCGCAGUCGAAACUAUUAGACUAGAGUAUAGUAGGGGUAAAGGGAAUUUCCAGUGGAGCGGUGAAAUGCGUAGAGAUUGGAAAGAACACCGAUGGCGAAGGCACUUUACUGGGCUAUUACUAACACUCAGAGACGAAAGCUAGGGUAGCAAAUGGGAUUAGAUACCCCAGUAGUCCUAGCCGUAAACAAUGGAUACUAGAUGUUGAACAGAUCGACCUGUGCAGUAUCAAAGCUAACGCGUUAAGUAUCCCGCCUGGGAAGUAUGCUCGCAAGAGUGAAACUCAAAGGAAUUGA
rnacentral:rRNA from 1 species